UACGUAGGGACCGAGCGUUUGUCCGGAAUCAUUGGGCGUAAAGAGCGUGUAAGGCGGCCACUUAAGUCCUGCGUGAAAUCUUGCGGCUCAACCGCAAGCGGUCGUGGGAAACUGGGUGGCUAGAGUGACGGGAGAGGAGAGUGGAAUUCCUGGUGUAGCGGUGGAAUGCGCAGAUAUCAGGAGGAACACCAAUUGGCGAAGGCAGCUCGCUGGGACGUUACUGACGCUGAGAACGCGAAAGCGUGGGGAGCAAACAGG
rnacentral:rRNA from 1 species